rnacentral:lncRNA from 1 species
GAACACCAGCCUAGAGGAGAAGCCGAGAGUGUCAGCCGAGAGCAUUAAUCGAGUGUACCAGCCAAGAGAAGAAGUCAAGAGUUCCCACCAAGGAAAGAAAUUAAGUCUUGUUAACCUUUUUUGAGUAUUCUUGGUCCUUGUUGUAAGAACAUUUUGGCGCCCACCGUGGGGCCGAGGGUUAAUUGAGAAGGGUUAAAGACAAGAUGAGUCAAGGAGGAGAACAAGGUGGAGACCGGGAAGAUAGUGCUAACAUGCCAAUGGCAAUGUUGGUCCAAUUACAAAAAGAAUUCGAGACAUUAAAGAAGAAUAAUGAAGAAGAAUUGAGUAUGUUGAGAGCCGAAAAUGCACGCAUGAGGAGAAAGUUACAAGAGGAAACGGUUUUGAAUUCAUCUUUCGAAACUGUUCAGCCUAGGAUACAAGUGAAUGAGAGGUUGUAUCACAACGAAAGUUCCCAAACCAGAAGAAGAUGGCUUGAAAACUCUGGGGUUUGUG